GUGAAAAUGUCUUCUAAAUUGAUUAGCGGGAAAAUCCAAGUUUUGGCGCAAAGUUCCCUCCAAAAAUUUCAUUUUUCCCUCCACUCGCAUAAACUGGUUUCUCUACGCUCAAACCCUUACUGUCUAUUCCCCAUCUCCAACUCUCUGAAACUUAACCCAAAUGGCCGAAUUAAAGCUAGGUCUUGUACAAAUCUGUCAAAAUUAGAGAUUUUAGAGUGGGUUUCUACAUUUCUUCCUCCCCUGUUUUCGACAUAUCUUCGUGGGUUUGUAUACUUUGUUGCUGAUGGUAUCGGCAUAUCUUAUUUCUGAUUUUGAUUCAUGUCAUUCUGUUUCUCUUGCAAAAGCAUUUGGGGUUUCAAGAUCCAACACUAUGAUUAAUUGAAAAGCUUCAAUUACUAACCAAUUUAUAAAGAUGCACAACCUUCAAGUAGUCUUGGUCUUAUGUUCAACUAAGAAGUAAUCUUCCAUCACCAACAAAAUCAGUUCAAUUUUUGAAAUUUCUGAGAGUAAGUUAAGUACAACUCUAUGACCCAAACCCGAUUUUAACAUCAUUAGCAGGUACUAAAAUCCAUGUUAACUGUGCUACCAAAUGAUGAUAUCAUUUCAAAUGUGUCUAAAAUCAAUCACUUGUAGAUGAAUGAACUAGACUAAAUAUCGUUCCUUUUUAUCCUAAUACUAAAUAUCUUUCACUUGUAGAUCAGCCCUGUUACUCAUUUUUAUUCACACUCCAAGCCUUAUAUAAAGAUUUAUACCUGAUCUUGUAAGUUCCUGUAAAAGGCCUCAGUAAAUGUCAUUUAACUAAAGAUACGUUUUGACAAAUAGGACAUAAUCGUGAUUCCUGAUAUCUAGUUUUCUAACAAUGGAACAAUUUUCAUAAUGAAAUGUAUAAGCUAGUCAUCAAUUUUUUGAUAAGGGAAGCAGAACAAUGCUUACCUUGUUAUGGGCAGACACAGUCUUACAAAUGUUGUGCCCUGCACCAAUUCAGAGCGAUUUUUCUGAGAAAGCAAGCUUUUGUGUGAAAAUUAUUUUGCAGCUUUACUCGAUCCAUUGCUGGAUACUAAGCUCAUCCCAGAUUAUUAAAGUUAUUCAAGUUUUUUGUCUUUAGGAAUUGAAGGUGUUGGUGUUGUUCUGAAGUUCUGCUAGAUACUUGUUAUUGGAAUGGAAGUACUUGGCCGAUCGAAAAUAAAAUAAAAUGGAAGUACUUGAAGUUGAUGUACCUGAUGUAAUGUUGGAAAUGCAUGUUUGCAUCUAGCAAUCAAUCUAAAUCAUAAAUUAUCUUAUUGUAAAUCUUAUGUGUUCCCUCACUAGUUCAAUUGCAUUGAAUAAGUUGUCUUAGAUUGAAUUUUAAAUUUGUGAAUAUAUGGAAGUGGAGGAGUACGUCAAGCACCCAGGGAAGUUUGCACUUGUUGGAGGAAAACGGCUCAAGGGAAUGAUCAUGACAGGUGGGAUUGGGACUGGUAAGACUCUGCUUUCCAAGACUAUUGCAGCAGAAGCCAGAGUACCUUCAUUUAUUCAGAGCAGAUUCAGAAAGGAAUUGAGGGUCUGCCAAUGGUAUUCUCUGUGUGCAACAUUAUAAAAGGGAUACGGAGAAAAUGUAGAAGCACAAGCACUAGAUAUCUUGGAGCCUGCAAAAGCUGUAGUAGUCACGCUUGCAGAGUGGCCUCGGUGAAACUCUGCAUUUCUAAUUUAUUAACUGUUACUGGAAAAUUAUGCAGUGAAGGCCUCUCAGAGAGUCUCAAGCAAUUUGAGAUUAUGGAAAGAUUGUUUACUGAACAGCGUUUCAAUGGGAUGAUCCUAGUAUUUUGGAAAAUUUACUCUUCAACAAACUAAUUAUUUUUAUGACAUAACUAAUUUUGUACCUCUUGAUGAUGGUUUAAAAAAUGAAUGCUAAAUUUUCAAUGGGAUGAUAUCCUUGUAUCCUUGAAAUAAAUCUUAUUCCCCAACAUACUGAUU